rfam:Oryza sativa (indica cultivar-group) chromosome 8, whole genome shotgun sequence.
UUUAAGUGCAACUAUAAAUUUUCGUGUCUAAUUUUGAUCGUUCGUCUUAUUUAAAAUAUUUUAUAAUUAGUACUUUUAGUGUUAUGAAAUGAUAAAGCAUAAAUAGUGCUUUUAUAUUUUUAAAUAUUUUUAAAUAAGACGGACGAUCAAAAUUUAUGAAAAAUCAUGGUUGUACUUAAA